rnacentral:pre_miRNA from 1 species
UCUUUAUUUCACAUGCUCUCUCACCUCUCCGAUUGAUGAAAGAGUAUGCGACAUAAAGAGA